rnacentral:lncRNA from 1 species
CAUAGGGACACUUCCUGAACAUCAGGGACUGAGCUGUACACAGCAACAGGCAGAUCCAUGCUGUGUGGCAAAUGGAAAGUGACCUCCUUAUUCCAAAAUUAGCCCAAAUGCAUCUACUGUGAACAAGGAACUCCUGUGGGCCAGGUGGAAAACUGUGGCAGCCCAGCUUUGGAUUGUUCAGCUGAGCCCUCGGGUUAUAGCUGUAAUUCCCAGAAGGAUUUGGCUGAAAAUUCUUUGAGGUUUUGGGAACUCUGUGUAAAUAGCAAGAUCCAUACCUGCCACCAGGGCUACACCAGAGAUGUUUGUGAUCACUGGCAAUGCUGCCUUUUUCCAAGAGUCUUUUAACCAUCAUUUUGGUUUUGAAGCCCCUCUUCUAGGUGCAGGAGUGACACCAGCAUAAGCUUCCAAUGUCCCAUGGGGAACUCCAGAGCCCAGGGAAAGUGCAAAAAGGCAGGAAUGGACUUCCAGUGGGAUGAGGAGGCUGGAGAAAAUCUCCUUCCAUAUCACACCUUGGUCACAUCACUCAGCCCUGCUGGGAGCUCCAGGAGAAGGGGAAAGAGCCAGUGCAUUUCAUGCUGCUGUCCCCCAGGUUUGCUGCUGUCCCUCAGAUGUUUUGCCAUCCAGUUUGGGCACUCCAGGAAGAAUUUGCUGCAUCACAAGCUGGAAGCACUGAGGAGUCCAGAGCUGCUUUCCUGAAGACCAAUAUUUUUUAUUGUCUUCUGCCCAAUUAAUGCAGUAACCAAUCCAGGUGAGCAAGAUCUUGUAUCCAUGCAGAGCCAUUGUCAGCUUGAGUGGGAUCCCUCAGCCCUCCCCACAUCAUUUCAGUUGCAGGCUGAGGCUUUCCAGGAAAUCAGAGUCAUGGAAUUACUUAGAUUUGUGAACCCAUG